rnacentral:rRNA from 1 species
UAGUGAGUUUGAUCCUGGCUCAGAGCGAACGCUGGCGGCAGGCUUAACACAUGCAAGUCGAACGGACGUAGCAAUACGUCAGUGGCAGACGGGUGAGGAACACGUGGGAACAUGCCCUUUGGUUUGGGAUAACUCAGGGAAACUUGAGCUAAUACCGGAUAAGCCCGAGAGGGGAAAGAUUUAUCGCCGAAGGAUUGGCCCGCGUCUGAUUAGCUAGUUGGUGAGGUAAUGGCUCACCAAGGCGACGAUCAGUAGCUGGUCUGAGAGGAUGAUCAGCCACACUGGACUGAGACACGGCCAGACUCUACGGGAGCAGCAGUAGGGGAAUCUUCCACAAUGGACGAAAGUCUGAUGGAGCAACGG